UGGGGAUAUAGCUCAGUGGUAGAGCACUUGCCUAGCAUGCACAGGGCCCUGAGUUUAAUUCCCAGUACUAA
rnacentral:tRNA from 1 species